rnacentral:rRNA from 1 species
UACGUAGGGUGCAAGCGUUGUCCGGAAUUAUUGGGCGUAAAGAGCUCGUAGGCGGUCUGUCGCGUCGGAUGUGAAAACCCAGGGCUCAACCCUGGGCCUGCAUUCGAUACGGGCAGACUAGAGUUCGGUAGGGGAGACUGGAAUUCCUGGUGUAGCGGUGAAAUGCGCAGAUAUCUGGAGGAACACCGGUGGCGAAGGCGGCAUCCUGGACCGAGAUUGACGCUGAGGCGCGAAAGCUAGGGGAGCAAACGGG